UUUUUUUUUUUUUUUUUUUUUUUUUUUUNCUGUCUAUUCUUCUUUUAUUGCCUUAUUCAGCAUUGACAUGAAUCCUGUCAGAUUUUCUUUGUCUGGUAAUGUCUUUAUGGCCUUCAUUGUUGAAGUAUAGUUUUGCUGCAUAUGGAAGUCUUGAUUGAUAGUUUUUCUUAACCACUUUUCUCUAUAUAAUUCUUGCUACUUGUGGCCUCUAUUGUUUCUGGUAAGUCAGUUCCUGUAUUGUCUUUCUUUUCUGUGUGAUGUAAAGUAAACUGUUAAGCAUGUAACUGUUCCAUGUCUGUGAUAAAUAUUUCUCUUUUUGCUUUCAAGAUUUUCUUAUUUGUCUUUUUCUUUUUAGAAGUUUGACUCUCAUGUUUCGAAGAAUGAAUCUCUUAGUGUUUAUACUUCUUGAUGUUUGUUGAGCUUCUUGUAUCUGUAGAUUAAUGUAUUUCAUCAAAUUUGGGAAGUUUUUAGCCAUUAUUUUAAAAAAUAUUUUUCUGCCCCUCUUUUCUCUCUUAUUGGGAUUCAUACAGCACAUUUAUUGAAGUAUUUCAAAUUGUCCUAUAGGUCUCAGAGGCUUUGUUCAUUUUUUUAAAAAUUUAUUUCCAAUCUUUUUUGUUUUUGUUUUUGCUUUUUCAGGUUACACCCAUGGCAUAUGGAGGUUCCCAGGCUAGGGGAUGAAUUGGAGCUACAGCUGCCAGCCUAUGUAUGCCACAGCCAUAGCAACGUGGGAUCUGAGGUGUCUGCAACCUACGCCACAGCUCACUGCAUUGCCAGAUCUCCAACCCACUGGGUGAGGCCAGGGAUUGAACCUGUGUCCUCAUGGAUGCUAGUUGGGUUCAUUAACUGCUGAGCCACAACGGAACUCCUCCAGUCUUUUGAUUAGAUAAUUAUAUCUUUCUUAUUUUCAGUUUCACUGUUUUUUUUUCUCUGCCUUCCCAAAUCUGUUGCUUUCUCCUGUAGGAAAUUUUCAUUUUUGUUAGUAGUACGUUUCAUCUCUAGCAUUUCUACUUGGUCCUUUUUUAUAAUUCUCAUUUCCUUAUUCAUAUUCCCUAUUUGUUGAGUAUUUUUUGUUAAAUUUUGAACAUUUUAAAAGAAUUAGUAGAACAUCUUUUUCAGUAGCUACUGGAUUUUUUUCUGCUGCAUUGCCACCUGGGCCAAAUUUCUGUUUAUCUCUUGACAUUUAUUUUUCUUCUUUAAUCUGGCUUUUAAAAUUAAAAAAAAAAGUCUUAUGAUUUUUUUUUCAUUGUAGUUGAAAAUAGGACAUUUUAUUGUAGUAUGGUGUGGUAAGUCUGAAUUUUGAUUUACUUUUCAAAGAAUGUCUUUUUUUUUUUCUUUCAGCCAAGCUUCAACAUAAAAAGCAUGGGAUUUUAUCUGCUUGUUGUGUAGAGCUUCUCAUGUUUCUGUUUAGUUUUUAAAUGCUUAUUUAUUCAUUUGUUUUUCCUUGGCUUUCUGGGUAUUUUCCCUGUGUGUGUUAGAUUUAACAGUCAAAAACAAUGAUUUGGGCAGAGUUUGUGUCUGCCAUAUGCUUGCUAUUCCUGUCUGCACCAGGGGAACACUUCAAAGUUUUAGUGAGUUGUCAAGUAAGCCCACUUCCUGGUGCUCUGUCUGGUGCAUUCCCUGGGCUUCCCUUGCACCCCUGCUUAGUCAGCCAGGAAUGUGUGGAGAGCUUCAUCUAGUCCUUUCAUUUUUUUUUUUUUUUUUGGCUGCAUCUUUGGCAUAUGGAAGUUCCCCAGGGGCCAAGGAUCAGGAUCCGAGCCACAGCUGCAACCUAUGUCACAGCUGCAGCCAUGCUGGAUUUUUAGCCCUCUGUGCACCCACACCAUUGAAGAGACAAUGCCAGAUCCUUAACCCACUGUGUCACAGUGGGAACUCCUCACUUUUGUUUAUAGUGUCUCCUUGAUGAAUUUCUUGCUAGUCUGCCAGUUGUCCAGACUGGGCUCACAUCUAUGUAUAGCAGUGUGGUAAGAUUUCCUCAUUUACUUCCUAUUGACAGUCACUUUCAGCUGACAAAGCGAUGGGGCUUUGUUCCCUGCCCCAAGUAACUUCCACCUGCACCACCAUCACUCAGAGUUCCUGGUUAUUGUUUUUUUUUUUUUUUUUUUUUCUUGUGCCAGGCAUAUGUUAGUAAAGUUCUGAUGGUCCCUCACCAAGUCCAGCGGUUGGUGUAGGCCGGGUAGCACGUGAGCUGUAGGUAGAGUACUUUUCCUCUGUUGCCUGAAUUUGAUUUUCAGAGUUAUGAAAUUGUUGCCUUUUGACUAAUUUAUGCAGUUUUAUACUGUUUUUGAGGAGAUUCACUGACUUCUUUACCAAGGAAGUCAAAACUGAGUGUUCAUAAGUGAGCCCAUAUUUCCUCUGAAGUUUCUUGUGCCCCAUUUUCUUCCUCUCUCUCUUUUCCUUCAGGGGCCUAGUUAACUACCUCUAUGUUAAACGCUUUGUAGUUGUUCCUCUGGUGGGUCCCUGAGGCUCUCUUUACUUCUUUCUUUUUUCAUUCAGUCUUUCCCCCUUCUCUGUUCUUCAUCUUGAAUGAUUGGUGUUGAUCUGUUCUCAAAUUCACUGAUUCUUUACUUUUUCAUUUCCAUUUUUCUAUUUAGUGCAUUUUCAAUUCUAAAUAUUUUAUCUUUUGUUUCGAAAAUUUCCAUUUGGCUUUUUAAAAACUAGGUGAGUUUUCUUUGCUGAAAUUUCCUCCCUAUUAAUUUUUUCCAAACACAUUUUCUUUAUUUCACAAAGUGUGGUUAUAAUAACCACUCUAAAGUUACUUAAAAUAAUUCCGGCAUUUUGGGCAUCUUGUUUGCCACAUACUGUUUUGCCUGAGAUUUGAUUGCAUUUUCCUGACUCUUCCUAAGUCAAGUUAUUUUGGAUUGGAUCUUGGACAUUUUGAAUGUUUUUUUUCAUAAUUUUUUUUUUUUUUCGGUCCUUUUAGGGCUGCACCAGAGGCAUAUGGAGGGUCCCAGGCUAGGGGUCAAAUUGGAGCUUUAGCCACCUACCUGUGCCACAGCCACAGCACCAUGGGAUCUGAGCCACGUCUGUGACCUAUACCACAGUUCACAGCAACGCUGGAUCUUUAACCCACUGAGCAAGGGCAGGGAUCGAACCUGUGUCAUGGAUACCAGUCAGACUCAUUUCCACUGAGCCAUGAUGGGAAUUCCACAUUUUGAAUUUUUGUUGUCUGGUCCCUGGAUUUUGUUGUAUAGUUUCAAAUACUCUUGGUGCUUUCAUUUUUAGCAGGUAGUUAAGUUGAUUCCUAUCAGAUGGCAUCUGUCAUGUCUGCCAUGGUCAGCUGCUCACCUCAUUUCUGAUACGUAGGCUUUCACUGUAGUCUGCUUUUACUUCUCCUGGUUUGUGUAUGGUUUAUGUAUUCUGCAUCCCUUUGGCUCUCUCUUUUAUGGAAUUUACUUUUUAACUCUCCUGUGUGGCUGUCAUUGCCUUGGGACACUUUUCUCUCUGAUCCAGCAACACAGCUGAGUUUCCCACUGUGAUUUUGGCUGCCCGUCUGUCCACAGUGGGCUGCAGCUCUGGGCAUCCCUAGGGUAGGACCACCAAAAGAGAGGAGGGGUUGGAUUUACCUUUUGCUCUUUUCCUAAUGCCUUGACUCCAUUCCAAAAUUUCCAUAUUUUGUUUAGUUUUCAAAAUUAUCAGGUAGUUCUUUUUUUUUUUUUAAUAUUUUGUUCAGAUUUUAUAGCUGUUAUUUUGCAGAUGCGGCUCGGAUCCCGCUUUGCUGUGGCUCUGGCCUAGGCUGGCGGCUACAGCUCCGACUUGACCCCUAGCCUGGGAACCUCCAUAUGCCGAGGGAGUGGCCCAAGAAAUGGCAAAAAAAAAAAAGAAAAAAAAAAAAAAAAAA
rnacentral:lncRNA from 1 species